rnacentral:tRNA from 1 species
GCGUUGUUAGCUCAGCCGGACAGAGCAAUUGCCUUCUAAGCAAUCGGUCAGUGGUUCGACUCCACCUACAACGCC